rnacentral:rRNA from 1 species
UGCCAGACUCCUACGGGAGGCAGCAGUGGGGAAUAUUGCACAAUGGGGGAAACCCUGAUGCAGCGACGCCGCGUGAGCGAUGAAGUAUUUCGGUAUGUAAAGCUCUCUCAGCAGGGAAGAAAAUGACGGUACCUGACUAAGAAGCCCCGGCUAACUACGUGCCAGCAGCCGCGGUAAUACGUAGGGGGCAAGCGUUAUCCGGAUUUACUGGGUGUAAAGGGAGCGUAGACGGCUGUGCAAGCCAGAUGUGAAAGCCCGGGGCUCAACCCCGGGACUGCAUUUGGAACUGUGUGGCUGGAGUGUCGGAGAGGCAGGCGGAAUUCCUAGUGUAGCGGUGAAAUGCGUAGAUAUUAGGAGGAACACCAGUGGCGAAGGCGGCCUGCUGGACGAUGACUGACGUUGAGGCUCGAAAGCGUGGGGAGCAAACAGGAUUAGAUACCCCAGUA